rnacentral:rRNA from 1 species
UACGUAGGGGGCAAGCGUUGUCCGGAUUUAUUGGGCGUAAAGAGCGUGUAGGCGGCUAGGUAGGUCCGUUGUGAAAACUCGAGGCUCAACCUCGAGCUGUCGAUGGAAACCAUCUGGCUAGAGUCCGGAAGAGGAGAGUGGAAUUCCUGGUGUAGCGGUGAAAUGCGUAGAUAUCGGGAGGAACACCUGUGGCGAAAGCGGCGCACUGGACCACAACUGACGCUGAGGCGCGAAAGCUAGGGGAGCAAACAGG